GAAGGCUGCAAUGCUGCUAAGUUCUGCAAGCUGCCACCACACGCCAUGGAAGCCGGAGCUGUUGGGGAACAGAAGGACAGGGAGUGAGGCUGGACUUAAGUUGGUACCCAAAGGCAGAGGCUGCAGGAGUGGGAAGCACACAGAGACUGCAGGAGGAGGAGCAGUCUUUUCCCAGCAGCAGACGGCUGAGAUCUCCACAAGGGCAGAGGAGGGAGAGUUCCUUUUCCUACACCAUGCAAAGCAUGUGCACACGGGGCAAACAUCAAAUGCAAGCUUAUUUGGGAAACACGAUGAAAUCAGGACACAAUUCAGGUGUUUAAGCACAGGUUUCCAGUUCCACCAGAGAUGCUAUGAGGCACCCAAAGCUCUGCAAGGUGUGAGAGCUGUAACUCGGGGCUUACGGAAGAUCUGCCCUUCUGGGAAUGGCAGUGGGAGGCUGGAGGGAUCCCAGGGGCAGCUCCGAUGGGACCAGGCGCCACUGGUGGGCACUUAAACUGCUCCCCUGGAGCAAACCUCCACUACAGGGCUAGAUUCACUUCAAGGCAGAUGACAGCAAUGGCUAUAGAGGUAAAUUUCCAUUUCUGGUUUUUUGAUCCCCCUGACAAACAGGGGAGCUUUCACCAUCUCUCAACCCCUUGCUGGGCCCUGGGAGUUCUCUGGGCACCGAGUGAAUGCAACUGCAGCUCUUUCAGGUGAGUGAGCAGCUUGUUCAGGUGGCUCUGCAAAGUCCUCCAGCCAGCAACACCUCUAGCAGCUCUGUAUUGCUCAGAGAGGCUCAGGCUGUAUCCCAGCAGGGCCUAGAUCGUCUCAAACUGGUAACAAGGUAUGCAUAGAAAACACAGAGACCAUGAGACCAAGGCAGGAGCCUUGCAGUGCUGGGGCAGUGCAGACAGAGAGGAGAUGGGAUCACCCUCCGUCCUCCUCCCUGAAGCAUCCAAGCGUGGAGGCAAUGACAUGCAGGCCAGGAAGAAGCAAUGGGACCCCAAGCCCGCUGGGGAUGUUAUAGGAAGCACAGGCUGAGCUCAGGACAUCAGCCCAACCCCCCAGCCUGCAGCGCUGCCUGGGGUCUCCCUGGGUUGGGCAGCAUGGACAGAGGAAGCGGGGAGGAGAGGUGGCCUUCUUCAGGGACCACCUGUUUCUCAAUCCAUGGACACAGGGUUUAACAGGACAGCCACGUGUAAUGACCACAGCAGAGGGGUGUCGCAAGCUGUGGCCACCUAACCCACGAUGGAGCUGCAUGCAAUGGGUAGUGAGGGGAGGGACACGUACCAGCAACUGCUCUAACUGCUGUCGGUCUCAGGCUGGCUGGCUGUUUCAGGCCUGCAGGAAAGAAACAGAACAAAAACAUGCAGGCAGUUACUGAAGGGAAGACAAUUGCAUCCUGAAGCUAAAGCAGAAACAAACCAGCGGCAUCACCCUUGCAGGGAGGACACUCGCUAAGGCAGAGCAGUGGUCCUCAGCCCAGCGAUUGCAGGUGAGACCUACUGAUGUAUCUCAUGGCCUAAGGACAUGGCAGCUGAAAUCAUGGGGAGCAAAAUGAGAACCUUCUGGCAGCAUCCCACUGCUUGGCUGGGGUAGUGCUCUACCCUGACUGCCAUACUGGGGAUGGGGAGAGAGGAGAACCGGCCCCACCAGGCUGCUCUUUGCCUGUCUGGUUGCAGAGCUCUUUGUACGCUGACAGCUCCAGCCUGAAUUCUCAUCUUAUUUGCACGGGUGUAAAACCCAAAUGGCUGCAGUCCCAAGCUGGACUUAACACCAGAAUGAAGCAAGACCAGGGCUGAGCUGUGACACAGUGCAGACGAACAAACCGGCAACCACAGCAGAUCAGAUUGUCAAAGGCCCUUCCAGCAUGCAGGGGCCUGCUGUCCUCUCUUGAAGAGCAUUUCAGCUAUGAAAAGCUGAGGCUGUUUGUCCAGGCGUUUGCAAAGGUGGUCAAAACACACCCGGAACCCUCAGCUCUGAGAGCAUGAGAAAUUCUUGCUUUCAGCAGCCCUGAUAGAAAGGGACGUCCUCUUCCCAGCUCGCUGCCUUCUGGAAGAUGGGCUCUCUGAAUGCCCUUUCUGCAGUGUGCAGGGAGGCACCAGGAGCCCUCCUCCACUCUCCCCACCUUCCUCUGAGCUGACACUGCACUGGUGCAGCUGCCAAGGAAAGGGCUCUAAUUAUAAACUGGCAGAUACUUGGCGUGCCUGAGGAAGGUUACUUCAGCUGUCAAGAUAACCUGAUGCUCAGGGGCUCUGUGUCAGCUCUAAAUUGCCCCGACAGAGGAUUUGGGGUGGCUUACCUUGCAGAGCCAAAACAAGGCUAAACUGUAUCAUUACACAUGCAUACCACACACACAUGCUGUAUAUGAUAUGACAUAUUGCAUACAAAUAGUGCAUCACAAACACCGCUGGGAGGGAGUCCCUAACAAGAAGCGUGCAUGUGUAAACCACUUUUGACUGCAUUUAGUUCAUGAAACCUGCACAAACGAUUCACGUGUGCUAAAGCAGGAGGAACUGAGCAAGGAUGCUCUAGAAGAACACACACGCACGUGUCUCUGGAUGCACGGGCAUUCAUCUGUGCACUACAUCAGACAAAAGCACGACGACGCAGUGUGGCUGUGUGAAACCGAGCUCCCCCAAGCUGUGGAUUACAGAAGUGUUCUCUGAGUGCAUCUAAGUGCUGAGCAGUGAAACAGCGAAGAGAAAAAGAAUCCCAAGCAGGUGCUUUUUAGUGGCUGAACAGCACGAGGUAGUCACACUCUUCUCUUGUUUGCACAAUCCCCACACCCACAUCGCUCUCCUACAUUUCCCAAAGUGGCCAGGAAUCUGGACAGACAGCUGCCUGGCUAUGAGAGCACACCUGGGGCGUCCAUAGGUGCAAUUUCCCCCCUUCCUGUCAUCUGGGUCAUGGCAAACUUUGGGCUGAGCCCACUCUCAGUCUCCUCAGCUCUGGUCCGUCAGCACAGCAGACUGAGGGAUGAGCCUGCAUGCAGUGGCUGUGCUACAGUAAUGAAGCCUUUCCUCUUUGUACCCAGAGCACAACUCCCAGUGUGUCUGCACAGCAAUGGAGGACAGCUCAGACAAGGCAGAUCAAGCUGCAGUGCCUUGCAUGGCCAUUGCAGACCAACAGGAUGCUGGCUGGACACUGGGUGCCAUCAGGGGCUCAGCUGCCACCCACAGGCAUUGCAUUUGGAAAGACCUCUCCAUUUCCACUGCACUUCCCCAGAUAAGACACAGUGAGUGAUGGAAACCCUUGCUGACAUGUCAAGCAAUUCAGGUCACUCAUGAGAACCUUUCUUCACUGGCCCACAUCAAGGAAGGAAAUGGUGCCACCUGCUCUUCAGUUCUUCUCCUGCGUGGCCUGAGCUCCUACCACACAUCAGAGGAGGAGAAAUAUCCUGGGGCUAUUUUGUGUUUCACCACAUCCCCCAUCCUCACAAUAUCACCCUUCCCUCACCCCCUCCUGCAGCUCCUCUCGCCUCCUGCAGCAGCCCCCUGCUGCAGGGCCACCAAACACCUCCCCAUGGGGCCACCAACACCACCAGGAGGUGCCAGCAGCUCUCCUGUCACCCCAACCCCUUGAGGACACGUCUGAGCUUAGCAGAAACAGAGCCCAGGAGAGCAAAAAAAAAUAAAGGAAGGAGGUUACAAGGAGAGCUACAGCCAAAACAAGGGUGCCCAUGGAGAGCCAUCUUUACCAGUGACCCCCACGGUAUCUCCUGGAAGCAGUCGGGUGCUGUCUUCUCCUCACAUAGAGGUCUGUGUCUACCGUCUCCUGAACCGCUUGUUCUGGAAGCAGGACAAAGAGAGAUACAGCUCUGUUGAUAAGCUCCUUGCAGUCUUCAGCAGGCCCUGCAGAAGUUUGUGUGGCAGUAGAUGCUGGUGGGGCUAAGGAGGUUAGGAAUGGCUGCCCCAAGUGCUGCAUCCCAUGUAAAUGCUGUACUGGCCCCCCUUCAUUGGCUGAAAAUACCUCUAUCCUCUCCAGCUUGAUUUUCCAGUGGGGUGGUAUGUUUGGAAACCCAGCACAUUGACCUCCUGCAAUCACAACCACUGCACAGCACAGGGAGACCACAGCCCACACGCUCUCCAAGAACCAGGAGGGGUUUCUGCAGCCGUGAUUUAUCCAAACCCACACAGGCAGAACUAGGGAGUCAUUGGCUUCCAGCACGCUCACUGUCCUUAUGUGCACACAGAGGAAUGGUCACCAAAUGUCUCCAUGGCCACGCCAUCGUCCUCCUUUCUCCUCCAUGCUGGCCAAGACAGCUGGCCUGAUGAGUGCAGCAUGCCCUCCUCCAGAACCUGAAGCUGUCUCUCCUGCUUCCCUAGGAAGUGCCUCACCUGCUCUGUUUCUCACAUCGGUUCAGGCAGCAUAGAAAAGCACAAAACAGAAUGGCCAGAAAUUGGUCCUUUUUUGGAGAGCUGCCAUCAGUGUGUCACUGUUCGGUCUCUUCCUUGCCCACUGGUGAACUGAAAAGCUGUGCCUGUGCUUUGUGUGUCGCACACGCAUUUCACCAUUGUUGAAUGGUGCACACACAGUUGUUAUGUUAAAUGUGUGUGCAGGUAACUUAGGUCUGUAUAUAAAUAAGCUGAGGUUUCCAAACACAAAUCUGUAGGGUUUACAUAAUGAGGAAGGAAGUGGGUGAAGUGGCUUUACCUGUGUGUGAUAAAGCAGAGGAAAUGAAAAUUAUGAGGGCUUCCUUCCCUUUGAUACACACAAUACUACAUUGCUGGAGAGCUAGUCAAGUCAUCCAACACAUGGCCCAGCCAGUCUGAGAGCUGGCUUUGCAGUAAGCCUUUGGUGAGUGGCUCCUUGGGACAUGAAGAUCCUCUAGAGGUGCUGCAGACCAAAGGCAAGCAUUUGCAAGGAUGCUCACAAUAGGACUAAUAUAUAAGUAUUUAAAUAGUUGAACAGGCAACGCUGGUAUUCACAAGUGAGUGCAUCUAUCUAGAACACACAGGCGGGAUGCCAAGUGCAGGGGUCCAGUGGGAAUCACCCACUGUGUUUUCCCACUAAUGCUAAAGGGGGAGCAACCAAACCCAGGGGGAGGUAAGGGAGGCCAAAGUAGGUUUGGAGGUGAAAAGGUUUAAAUAUUCUCCUCGUAAGAACAGCAUCUGCACUAAGAUUAUCUUGUUACUGAUAAAUGCUCUUCUUUCAGCAACAGAAGAUUUCUUCUAAAACAAAACAUGGAUUUAGUUAUUUCAUGUUGUUCAAAAAAAUACUGUUGUGGAUGAUAGUAGCAAAACAUCUAAAGCUUCCAGAAGCUGCCACCAAAAGCAGUUGUCGACUACGUGUUUUUGAGGGCUGGUUGGGAACCUGCUGGUGGUUGAAGGGCUGGGACAUGAAUGAACCCCACGCGGCCCAUCCUGGCGAAGCCCUCCUUCAUUUGACCAGCCCUGCCCACUGAGGACUCAACUUGAGGUCUCACCACUCCCACGUGAAGGAAGGGUCGCUUUGUAAGGGGACAAGAUAAACUUUGGUCUUGAAAUCAACGACACCCCCCGUGCCUAGCAGAUACUGCACAGCACUCACAACUGGACUCUGAGCGCUAACGAGGAAGGAACCUGAACAGUUGGCUGGAAGUACAGAUGUUCAUGCACGAGAGGGAUGAUGGCAAAGCCAGGAGUGUUUCACCCCAUCACUUCUAGUUGAAGUGGCAAAAGCACAAUCUUAGAGUUUGGCCCAACUCACCAAUCUCUUCCACAAUAUUCUCAGUGCUUCCAGGAGGAGUGGUUCUCUCCUAUUCAGAAACAAAACAAAACAAACAAAAAAGAAUAACAACCUCAGGUGGGUGCCUCCUUGACCUGUCCCUUUGCUCUGAGAGAAGGGCAGGAAGCCCUGGGGCUUUCCACCAUCGCUACAAUUAAGACCACGGGCACCAUAGGAGCAGAGCUGAAGCCCUCCUGCUCUCAGCUGCCUUCAGCUGCUCCACCCAGCAAAGUGGUCUCCAUCCCAUCCAGCGCGAGUCCUUCGGUUAUGCUGCUGUGCAACCACUUCAAGAGCAAAGUCCUUCUCAGAACUUUUUUUUUCCCUUAAAAAAGCAACAUUCAGAGACCUGAAAAUUGGCACUGCAUGCUCCAGAGUUUGGGGUGAAAGAGCAAAGAGCAGCCACUGCUCAUCCUUCCGACAGACACCACUGGCAUGGCUGACGUGCACACGGAGGAACGACGACGAACAAACUCAGCAGCCACAGCAUAUAGGGAAAAAGAUUUACUGGGAAAAGAAAUGAGGCGAAACGGCGUUUGAAGUUUCACAGAAUUUCUCAGUGGAAACACAGACAUUGAUCCCUGGGUGGUGAGCAUUUGGGGCUUUGUGGUUUGGGAUAAUAAAGGAAACCGUUCCACUGGCUUCAAAAGAUCAGAACAAAGGAUCCCUUCCUUUACCAUCACAGGGAGGAAAGAACACAACUCUAAGUUGCUUUACUCUACAUGCAAGCAUCAUUUUUGGUCCUGUACAUGUCAGCCACACACUGCUGUCACCGUCAGUGCCCUCUGCUGCUGACAGCCCCACGCAGUGGCUGCUCUCGUUGCACUGCAGCCCCACUGCUCCUCCCUGCAGCAGCUCAGACUCAUCCUUGGGCACAGAGCAGCUGAGCACAGAAAUCACCUUUUAACCAACCCCAAAAUACCUUCUGGGCUCUUGACUGCGCCUUGCAUGUUCUGCGCCCAUCCUGCUUAUGGCAGCUUGGAAAUGAACGUGACUUAAGGAAGAGGGCUGUGUCAGAGCAAGGGAGGCACAAACACGCAGGGCUGCAGCCAGCUGCCACGCUUUGCUCUCUCUCAGCAAAUAGCACUGAGCUCUGCCAGCGAAACUCUGCUGCAGCUACAAACCAGAUACAAGAGACUGCCGAGCUCUCACACGAGUAUUUAACGAUGAGAAUGUGUUAGAUUGUUUUCCUAGAGCCUAUGGAUUACAGUGGAUCAGCUGUGAGCCCAGCGCCUGCCUGCUGAUGCUGUGAACAGCGGGUUUGCAUUUCGGGUCAGCUCACAGGCGGCGCCCUUUGGGGUCACUCCUCAAAAGCUUGUAAAGUAAAUCUCUGCGCUCUGCUCCUAAAUCUGCUCCUCUUGUCUCCAAGCACAGCCGUGGCUUACUAAGUUUCCCUGCAGGGAGCUGGUGCAAGGAGUCACGUUCCUUACUCGCAUGGCAGGCACAAGCAGCUUGAUCAGGACUUGAUCUUUAGGCUGAGACUUGCUGGGUGCACAGACAGAUUGCUGCUGCUUGGGCUUUUGAUUGAGCGUUGUCUGCCCUCCAGAGGUCUCUUUUUAUUUAGUGGCUCAUCCUGUAGCAGCCAGGGGCUUCAAGCAGCCCCCAGAGGCCAUCUGAGCAGCCCAGGGAAAAGUUGGCCCACCAGGGCUUCACCACCGCCCUCUGGCAUCCCAAACCUGGUGCCUUCCCAACAGCCCAGUGCCAAACUGGGGGAAGGAGCGGCUGAACAAAGGAAUGGAAAAAUACAGGACAAACAGGAAAAGCAAACCCAGCUAUCACCCCCAGACUACGCUCCAGAAGCCUUCCUUCUGGCAAAGCUGCGCUGUGACAUUAACUUGACCUAUCUGGUUUAAAGACAGCCAGUGGCUCCUGCUGUUGGUUGGGAUAUCUGAACGGGUCACGCUGGCAGGGCCCUGCAUUCCUGCGGGGGCCUGACUGUAACUCAAUGAGGUGCUAGCUGGGCUGCCCAUACACCAGCAGCCUGCCCACAGGAGCCCCGCACUGCCAGGUGGAGGGGCAGGCAGUGGCCAAGGGUGAAGGGGAUGCUGGGACCAAGACUGGUUCCAAACAAGAGGCAGUUUUUAAGAGCCAUGGGUUUUCCAGCUGCUCCACAAAGCGUUGCCCUCUGACACGGCCUCACAUAAACACCACGAUGCCCAGAGAGCCCAGAGCCUGAGAGCAGAGCCUGAGCAGGAGCAGCAGGAGGAGCAGACCACAGGGCCUGACAAGCUGCUGGCGUAGGACUCAAAACAGCCGGCUCCCCUGGGCACAAACGGUUUAUAGGGAAACCACAGCAUCUCCUCCUGCCAAGCAGUUGCACACAGGAUUAGCGCUUCCCUCACACCCGACCUGCUGUUACGUGGUUAUGGCUGCCCCGACCUGCGCUUCCUGAAUCCCAAAGGGCCUCUGAUGCAGAGCAGACAUUACAGAAUCAAGUUCAGGCCUGUCGAGGAACUGCCACCCACAGAAGUGCUGGUGCCUUUGGCCAGAUGCAAGCAGUGAUUUUGCUCCAUCCUUCCUCAGGCUCACUACAAGAGAGAUCAAAUGACCACAUCUCAACACACUACAGUCAGCUGGGCCAAGGCGCGUGCUGGUGGCAAAGCAAAAAUGACUUAGAGCAGCUUAGGAGUGAUUUAAACUAACAUACAGAUCUUCACACUUGAGUGGGCAAACAAUAGGCACGGCAGACAGCUUCAGCAGCUCUGCUGGGGAGUUUUAUUCAAACUUACAGAGAGUUUUACCACUUUCUGGCAAUUCCCCUCACUGAGUUCUUCCAGGCUGCUCCUCACUGUUCCUCUCUCCCCACUCUGACUUGCCCUCUCCCCAUCCUGAAGGCUCUCUGGGCUCAGUGACUCCCAGCCCAGUUGUCCACCUACUGAGUUGGCCACCAGCCCUCUUUGUUCACUCUGGGGAAGCUCAGUUAGCUACUCCUGACCUGCUCCUUUCAACCCUGUCGUCCCAUGGCUUCUUGAAUUCUUGACUCUUCACUUCCAGCCCUGAUGAAACCACUACUGACAGUCGACAAGUCCACAAACCCUGGUCAUUGACCCUGGCCCUAUCUGGCUUUCUAUCCCCAAACACCACCCCUUCAUUCUUUCUCAGUCACAUUCUUUUUUACAUUUCCUACUCACCUGCUUUUCCAGUUUACUGUCCUAUUCUUCACAGUCCUCCAGCCCACUCUGUGCUCACAUUGCCAUCAGCUCUUUUCUUCCAGGUCCUGCUGGAACCUGGAAUCACCUUAUCUGUUCUAAAAUUGUGCUGUGUAAAAUCAAAACCUUUUUUAAUAUUUCCACCUAUUUCCUUAAUAUCGGUGUUUUAUCCUGGUGUCUCUGCCAAAGCAUCAUCUCUUGGAUGCCUACAUCUCCUUUGCCAAACUGGACGUGCCAUAGGCAUAGUCUGUCCUUUCUUAGGAAGACCCUUCAUCACAUCCUUUCUGUUUUAGUCACCUUAAUCUGCCUCCACAGCCUCAGAGCAUUAGCUGGCACCUUUUAACUUCGGCCCUGCAGGCAAGCUUUCAUUAUUCCUGGUCAGUUCCCUUCCUCAUCUCACGGUUAGAAUGCUAAAAGGUUUAGAUGAGCUGUUACUCUUUCUCCUCUUGCAGCUCCACACUGCCCUUUCCUUACAGCUUACUUACGUAUGGGUGGAUUGACUUCAUUUUCAGAAGGCAGGCUAAGGCUGUGUCUCCUGGCAGCAUAAUGGACUCUCCAACCUUCCUGACAUGCAUUCAAAGGCUUCGAAGGUGAGCAACUUGUGCCAUAUGCUUAGCAGUGGCCCCAAACAGCCCAUCAGAGUUUAUCUGAAGAACAAUACUGUUCUCUGUGUGAACCUGGUCUUGAGGGCUGCCUCCAAGUGUUCUGCUGAAUAAAGCCUGCAAUGAGAUUUAUCCAAGCUGAAGCGGAGAAGUGAGGCACAGAACCCAGAGCUGCUGAGCCCUGGCCAUAAUGCUGUCCUACUCACCAAAGACUAGGAACCCAAAAAGGGUUCAAUGCUAAUUAUUAUUACCUCACCGUCAGCUCCCAAAUCCCGGGUCAGUCCCAACUGAUCCAUCCCAAGAAAGUGGUAUCUUUGUCCCAUCGGCAGAAGGAAGUGUUUAUCCUGUUUAGGAAGUUACCUUUGGACUUAUAAUGGUUCCUCAAAGGGCUUAACCCAACCUGGCUCCACGCCUUGCUGUAGACUCAUGUACUCCUUUAGAGCCCUCCGUAACACACCAGCAUUUCUCACAAAGCCCUUCAGCUGUCCCCGACCCGAGGACUGAUAUGUGAUCGACUGUAAAUCUGUCAUUACACCUUCUGGUAUCGUUGCUCAUUCCUGCGAUGUGGAUAGCUAGCAACCAUGUUGGAUUCCCUUCUGAUGACCAGAAGAUCUUGAAGCCUGGUUUAUCAGAAGUGAGGCAGGCUGGAACAAAUGGUGCUGCUGGUUUAUCUGUGAGCUCACUUUGUGUGUUUGCCAGGACUGGAGAAACUCAUCCCUUCUGGCCGGGCUGCUGAAUGCUCAGCACUGUGCCCUGCCUCCCCCUGGUCAGCUUAUCCCAUUUGCUGAAGGAAGAUGGUCAUUGAAUCACGGUCAUAUCCAAAUCUAGGACAUGACAGACACAAGGUAACAAGAUUGUUGGUUGUUUUUGUUUCGUUUUUUAAUUAAUUCUAUGUAGAUAUUCAUCCUUCUGGUUCUUGCAAUCAGGGAUGAGAGUGUUUAAGAGCCUCUCAUGGCCCCAGUUUCCACGAAUGCAUGUAGUUCUUUAGAAAUCCAUACAUUGGAUUGCCAUGCUGUUGUUUGGCAGAAAUUCACAGCCGUGCCAGUGCUGCUCUUCGCUGUAAAUCCGAUGCUUGGCAGUUCUGCUGGCUAACCCACGUUUUUGCAAGGAAACAGAGCUAGCACACCGGCAUCCCCAGCUCACUUCCCUGUGUCCUUCAGGGUGCAGAGCCUUGGCCUUGUUCUCUUCAUCUGGCUUUCUCCCAGACACAUUUGACAUUUGGAUUAAUGCUUUCUGAAUUGACAUUGAACUGGACGUUUGUCCAAAAGCACAAAGAUCAACACCACCCGAGCACACAAUCCCAUGCAUGUCUAUUAAAAAGGCAAGGCAUGGACAGCAAUGGCUCAUGGCAGGACUCUGGCAGGUACCAAACAGACAGGAGAUGUGUUUACUGACCUGUGUUUAUUAACAACUGGACUGGAUUAAAAAAGGAUGCCACAGAAGCCAAGUCAAUAAUUCAGGCACCCACUUGAAAGACUGCCUUCUGUCUGCAUGCAAUUUCCUGAGAUACGUGGUCAGUUUCUGUACUGCCUCUAAACCACAGAAUGAUCACAAGAACGACUGCCCAAGUAACAGGCAUUUUGUUUUAAGACUAAAGUAUAGUUUUGCUCAUCUGUUAAUCUCUUUCAUAACUUAUUUAACUGGGAUUAAAGGGGAUGCAUUCUCCCUGGGACAAAAGUAUGUCCUGAAAACCCUUCCACUACCCUGAGUGUAGUGGAAAGACCCUUUUUCUUUUGCUGGCCCAUUGGCUGUGGCAAUUAGGGAGAUAUAUGGGCCACUUCUGCCCCUCUCAUGAAAACCUGAAAAAAAACCUACAGCAGUGAUCUGCAAAUUGUGAAGCAACAUAAAAUAAUUGGUAAGGAGAACGCUGAGCUAAUUAGUGUGAGUGGAGUACUGCUCCAACUGAGUUGCACUGCCUGUUUCCACCAGCAGCUCGGGCAUCCCUCCUGCACAGUGCUGUGCCACAAAGGGGCCAGGACUCGUCACCCAGUUUUGGCAACCCAUCUGAACAGAGGGGCCAAUGCACAGAAUGGAACACCCUCCAAGGAUGCCCGAUUUCCCCUUGUCUACAGGAGCAGCAAUGAUUAAUUAGCUCAGGCUUUAUGUAUUGAACUUGCAGGCACCUAAGUCUGCGAUCAGGCAUACUCCUCCCUCUCAAGUUAGACAAGUUAAGGGUUUAGGCCCCUUGUAAGUGCUUACAAGUACUGAAAGGCUUUGGUAUUUCUGAGCUGCAAUGCUGUACUUCUAGAUCUCAUUCUCUUCUUCAGUGGGAAUACCACAGUUAGGGUGGUACAGGCUAAGGGCAAGGGAGCUGGGACAUGGUUAAUCACACCCUUCAUCAAGGCUACAUUAGGCAUUCUAUUUUUGCUCCUAACUGCAAUGCUCCAAAUCGUGCCUCAGGGCACUUAAGUUAAAUGUCUGAAGUUAAACAGUGUGAAUACCCCUGAGGUCACUUCUGCUCACCUGAAGGGGCGGGCAGGGGUCCUGCUGCAGGCCUGGUGACACUCAGAGCAGGGUACAGACAACACUGUGAUGGAGAUUUCCCUUCAGUUAAACAGACUCCUAUAUAUCAAAGGCCGGAACACUGCCACUGCUGAGCAGAGUGUGGAGGACAAACUGACAUGCCAAUAAGAUAAAGCCAUACUGACAUUAUUAUUGGUAUUAUAUUAAGACCUUGCUUGCCUGUUUACGGUCAUUUUCUCCUGCUGCUGCCACCUCACCUGCCUGAUCUCACCAAUACCUCAUUCAAACAGCCACGAAAGGAAAGACGCAAGGCUCUACCAAACAUACAUCAGUUUUCCAUCACAUAAUAUCCACCCUUUCUAAUCUUUCCUCAAAUAACCGAAUUACUUCUUGAGUCAGCCACGUAUUCUUUCUUCAUCUUAUCUCACCCAGCUGUAUGAGCAAGUCACACGAUUAAAGAUGCCCCAUUGCAAAAUGUGAUGGUGAUACCAAAUGAUAACAUUUACAAUACAACCAGCUGACAGCAAACACCAAGGCUGAAAUUUGCUUACACAAAGUCCUCAAAACCUGGGGCAGAGCUCUUGGAAACAUCCAGCCUGGACAGCCAUUCAAGAGCAAAGAUCCACAGAGGAACAUGAAUUUCCAUCCUCUACCAUUCUAAUAUUCCUGCUUAUUUGUCAUCUCAUACCCCUCCAUUUACCUUCUUUAACAAGAAUCCUACAUCCAUUGCUGAAGCUAGAAGUUAUUCAACGAGCCCAAAAAUGGGGGGUGUGCAAGAUGACAGUGUUAGCUUACUCUUUGAAUAUUCUUCUGUAUCACCUCCCAGACAUCGUGUAUACAAAACCUCCUACAAGCUAACAAAGCACAAACUAUUACAGGAAUUUUCUUCUCCUUUUCCACCUUUGUUAGUCCUUCUCUUGUAAGGCAUGGAGCAGAUCCAUGCACAUCUACAUGGCUGGUUGCUGGCUCACAUUACCAACUGCUGGGACAUGCUGGAUUCUUAUGGAUCACAUGAAUGUCACAAUUUAUGUCACAAUUAAUUUUUCAGCCAACUGGAGUUAAAUCUUGCAAGUUAAAAAAUCCUAACCUGCUAGACUACAAAUAUAGCUGUUACUUAAACGUCACCAGCUUCUGGGACAAGGAAAGUGAUUCAAGGGGAAGGAAAUUCCAUACCUGUAAACCUCAUUACCGAUGAUAGACUUGAUAGGUACUGAGCCUCUGAUCAGCUUGCUGGAAUGACCUCACUUCCUUAACAGCAAAGAAAAGCAGGGCAGAAUUGUCUUCUCAUGUUAAAAGGGAAGCUUAGAAGUUCAUCGUGUCUACGGUGAACCUCAAGUCCCAUGUGCUACUUGGAAUGUGUCUCUUUAAAAGUGAGGGCUGAAGCACAAAUGUGAAACGUCUGUUUUCAGAUAUAUAUCCUGAUGUCAUAGAACCACAGCAUGGGUGGGUGGGAGGGCCCCCACAAGCCCUGCCAUGGGCUGCCCACCCCAGCUCAGGCCGCCCAGGGUCCAUCCAUGGCCAUUGGCACCUCCAGGGAUGGGGCACCCAUGGCUCUGGGCAGCAGUGCCAGCACCUCACCGCCCUCUGGGUAAAGAAUUUCCUCCUCACAUCUCACCUCCUUUAGUUUAAAGCCAUGUCCCUUGUCCUAUCAUUAUCAGACUAUGUAACAAGUUGGUCUCCAUCCUUUUUAUCAGCUCCCUUUAAAUAUGUCCCUGUGCCAUGGCUGGAGCUGGAUGCAGUGCUGCAGGUGGAGGCUCACCAAUUACAGGCGGCAUUGCAUUCAUCUACCGACCAUGGGAGGCACUUCCAGCAGCAGCAGCACUGCUGGCACUGAACCUUUUGACUCGUGUCAAACACAGCAUGCACAACCAUGGGCCCCUGGUGGGGUAUCAGGAGAGUCACUGCCUUCAAGCUGGGGAAGUUACCAUGCAUUUACCACUGCAGACAUGCACCUUCAGACAUGACCAUUCGGAGCUGGGAUUCCCUCUGCCACAGGGCGCAUCCCUUUGGAUACAGCUCUCAGCUCAUCCCCAGCUGGGGCACUGUGCUUCCACCACCGCGUGGCCCAGAGCUGACACCGAGGGUUACACCGAGGGUUUUCUAAAACCUGUGGCUGUGUUGAAAGGCUUCCAGAUCCUGCCUUGUCCUAACAGGAACACAUUCAGUACCAUCCACGGUACCUCAGCUUGGCUGCUGGUCUAUUUUACCAGCAAGUAGGAGGCCCACGCCUCUUUGCCAUCUGUUACCACUCAUUUUUCAUUGCUUCUGAAAACAACCUGAGAAUAACCCCGCUCUGAUUUAGCCUGAUGAAGCAGGAAGCCCUUGGAGUACAUUUUUCCUACAUGGUCUGCUUACUGCCCUGUCCCACCUUCACCCAUCCCACCCUCCUGCACUUUGUGGCGUUAAUUCUGACUGUUUGCUCCCUCUGUUUUGGCUGCCAUGAGGGACCGCUCAGUUUCCAUGAGAACAGGGAGUCUCUGGAAAUGGUUUUUAGUUCAUUUAGUACAGUCAUGUGCAAAACCAAAUAGAAAUCCAUAAGAAAACAGGGGUUCUAUCUUACUAGACAAAGGCUUAGAUGAGUGCAACGAAGGACAGACACCCCUAGAUCCUUUUGAACAUCUGUUUAAAAGACAGGAGAGCUUCCUCCGGUGGAAGAUGGGAUAACAGAAGUGUCUGCACUGACACUGACCAACCACGACCUGAUCAGAGUCCAUUUAAUAAGUUCAGUACCUCUAAAGAAUCUGCAAGGCCUCCUGCCGGCACCAUUCCUGUUGUUCUCAAUCUCAUCAGGUUUGCAGCUGAAUGCUUGCCCAGCCUGGUUGGGUGGUGUUUCCUCUCUCCAUCAAAGCAGGUUUUGUGCCACCUCCCUCCCACAGCAGCACCAGCUGCCUGCUUUCUCAGAACCAGGCAGGAAAGCCAGCAGAAAUUCUAGAUGUGGCUGCUUAAGAAGACUGAUGUGAUAUCCAAAGGAGCUUUUGCUGUGAGCCAUCCUACCUCUGCUAGACAAUACUGAGGAUUUCAUUUUCCAGAGAUCCUAACUUGGCACUUCCCACCAACCUACGCUCGCUUUGAAGGAAACAGGAAACGUACAGAAGGAAAAGAACACUACCCCUUCCCUGAGCAGGUCCUUCCUCGGCCCAGCAGAGGGAAAAGCCCUCAUACAUCCACCCAAACCCAACUCCUGGGUGGCACAGAAAUGACACCUCCAUCACACCACACAGCUGGGGAACCACACACACUCAAAUACUGCUCCAGAACUGUCCCAGCACACUUUGCACGGCCAUCAUUAAAAACCCUGCCUUUCUGGCACUAAUGCUGUUCCAAGUGAUGUUGAAAAGCUUUCCAUUGUACUUCAGUAGUAAGAUGUUAUUUUGCAACAGUGCAUUUUCGUAUGAAAAAUCAGUGCUAUUUUUGAUCCGCAGCGGAUC